UUAUUAUGAAUCUCUAUGGCUUACUUUUUUUGUUCUGUUAUAUUCUGUAUGUGUCCGGUUCAGUUCCUUUCAGUGUUACUGUUACUAUUUUUUUUUGUGAGGGUUUAAUUUCUUCCGCAUGUUUAUUGUCUUCUGAUCUUGCUGAAUACUUUUGUUUUAUCUCUUUAAACUGAAGAAUUUGAUGAAUGUCAUCGCCCCUUUGAUUAUUUUAUCCGGUUAACGUUAAUUAUUGACUGAAACGAUGGAGACUAGAUGGAGCUCUCUGUUACUGCUAGCUAUGAAAUUGGGGCUUAUGAAUGAGUGUAAUAAUGGAUUGGUAGUUGUAUCUUACCAUAAAUUUAUAUUAUUUUGAUAUUUUCCCAUCAAGCAAGUUUGGACGAUGCAUGUUCAUAGUAAAAACGUAGUUAUAGAUCGAGGAGAAACAUAGUGAUACCUUUGGAUGGUGCAUUGAAUUGGUAUGAACAAAUAGGAGCUUAGUUACGAAAAAAGCUUACCUGAGGGAACACUAAGAAGAUGAGAACAAUCCUAACAGUCCUCCUUUUUUGAUUCAAUCUCUGUGAAGGUCCUCUAAUUUCUUUUAUGCCACAUUAUCCCCAAACUCACAGCCACCAAAUUGACGAUAAGACAGCAGCUUGAGGAAAACCUUUAAAGCGAGCCUAUCAUUAGAUGAAAGAUAGCUUCACUAGCGGCCUCAAAAAAAUCUUAGUUAAUCUCAUAAAUGGAGAACAACUUUGCCCAACAUUAGAAGCGAAAAGGCACCCAAGAUAUUAGUGAGAGUUGACCAGCCCUCUCUCUCUCUCCAAAAAACGAUUUUGCCACUCACUUGUUGGAUGAUGCUGUUUUUGGAGAAAACCCAGCAGAAUCCAACCUCCCCAUCAAUAUCUUACCCCCCCUGUUCCUACCGAUUUGCCCAGUUCGAUUAUCUCAUGGAAUGGUCGUGGCUUGAAUUCCUGUAAUAAACUACAGAGGGAACUUCAAAAUUUGCAAUCCUCAAUUUGUUACGAUAAAUCAUCGGCUUUAGCCAAUAGGGAGGGUUCUGAGGUUGCUAAAUGAAGAUCAUCUCAUGGAAUGGUCAUGGCUUGAAUUCCUGUAAGAAACGUGCCCUGGUUAAGGGGUUGUUGCAGCAACAGAACCCAAGUAUUGUUCUUCUCCGGGAAACCAAACUUGAUGAUACCGAUUCCCAUAUCAUUAAAUACAUUUGGAGCUACCCAUUUAUCGACUGGACGACGCUUGAUGUGAUUGAUACUUUGGGUGGUCUCCUUAUUAUAUGGCGUUCACCCGAUUUCACUCUUCUUGAGGUUAUAUAGGGCCUUUAUACAGUUUCUAUACAUAUUUCCUCGAUGGAUGGUUUUUCUUUUUGGCUCUCAACUGUAUACGGCCCAUUUGAUGGUUUGUAUCACUCAAAUUUUUGGCAGGAACUUGAUGAUUUGGUGGGAUUGGGAGGCGAUUCUUGGAUUAAUGGUGGUGAUCUUAACAUAACCAGAUGGUCCUGGGAGAAAUCACAUGAUCAGUUUAUUCCAAAUAACAUGCAGCUUUUCAACCAAUGGAUUGCAAAUUAUCAUUUGAGGGACGUGCCUCUUGAAAAUGCAACCUACACUUAGUCCAGCUUUGGACAUACCCAAUAUGCCUCCUUAAUUGAUAGUUUUUUGGUUAUUGGCAUUUGUGCUACUAAAUUUGGAUCCUUUCAUGUUCACCGAUUAGAUUGUCACUUUGGAUCAUUUUCCUCCUGCUAUGAUUGCAUGUGAUAUUGAUUGGGGUCCAUGCCCUUUCAGAAUUGAGAAGUCCUGGCUCUCUACUCCAUUAUUUUUGCCACUUGUGGAAACUUGGUGGACAAACAAUAGGGUUGCUGGUUGGCCUGGACAUGGAUUGAUGAUGAAGCUCAAAGCAUUAAUAAUGUUCUUUCGUUCAUGGAAUAACAACCAGUUUGGAGAGGCUACUUAAUUACCAUCCCUUAUCUCUCAGCUUCGUGAGUUGGAUAAUAUAGGCAACAAGACUCAACUCUUUGUAGAACAAUUAUCAACAAGUCGUUCAUCGAGGGAACAAAUUGAACAAUUAACUACCCAGGAGCACAUCCAAUGGCAGCAACGUUGUAAACUUAAAUGGUUCACGGAGGGUGGUAUCAGAGUAGCCCCGAUCUUUUGGGACGGAUGGCUGGCCGGAGAGGAAUAAACCCAGUUGCGGGGGAUGAUUGCGUGCAAGAAGAAGCGGAGGAAAUCACCGCCCUCUCUCCAAAGACACCGACGAUUCACUUGCUGGCCGUCGAGGAAUCAUUGGGAGAUCUUCAUAGCAAAUUUGAUAGGUUGAUGGAGAAUGUUGGCAUGUUGAAUUGGAGAAUGGAGGAACCACCAGCGCCGCGACAAAUUGAAGCAAAUGUUUUGAACGGCCACAAUUUUGAUGGAAGAAGAGGCUAGCGAGCAAGAGAAAAUCAAAGUCCCCAUGGAGGUUUUUACAUGAGCAUGAUGCUUUGUGGCGUUAGCUCCUUGUGGCUAACUACUACUAUCUCUCUUGCGUUUGGCCGACUAUUGUUAGAAGGUCAUCAAAGUCCUCAUGGAGCUCCAUUUGCCAUACUGCUGACCUUGUAUUUUCUAGGACUCAACAUUGCGUUGUUAUGGGUGACAAUAUUUCUUUUUGUAAAGAUCCGUGGCAUGAUUGUGGUAUUCUCUUUUGUGAUUUUCCUCGUUUGUUUCGUCUCUUUUGUACUCUUAAUAUUUCUGUUGUUGAAGCACGGCUUCUGAUUUUGAGACUUGGAACUUGCACUUUAGACGUAAUUUUACUAAUCAUGAAAUUCAUGAAUGGGUAUCUUUGUAUGCUA